rnacentral:tRNA from 1 species
GCCCAGUCAGCUUGGUGGGUAGAGUGUCUGCCUUGUAAGCGUUAGGUCGCGGGGUCGAUUCCCGCUCGGGGCG